rnacentral:rRNA from 1 species
GACGAACGCUGGCGGCGUGCCUAACACAUGCAAGUCGAGCGGGAACCUGAGGAGGGGUAACCCUCUUCAGGGGAGAGCGGCGAACGGGUGAGUAUCACGUGGGCAACCUGCCCCGGACUCCGGGAUAACCCAGGGAAACCUGAGCUAAUACCGGAUACUCCGGUUGGAUCGCAUGGUCCGACCGGGAAAGCUCCGACGGUCCGGGAUGGGCCCGCGGCCUAUCAGCUUGUUGGUGGGGUAACGGCCCACCAAGGCGACGACGGGUAGCUGGUCUGAGAGGACGGCCAGCCACACUGGGACUGAGACACGGCCCAGACUCCUACGGGAGGCAGCAGUGGGGAAUAUUGCGCUAAUGCGCGAAAGCGUGACGCAGCGACGCUGCGUGGGGGAUGAAGGCCCUCGGGUCGUAAACCCCUUUCGCCAGGGACGAAGGGAGACUGGCGGUACCUGGAGAAGAAGUCCCGGCUAACUACGUGCCAGCCGCCGCAGUAACAC